AUGGGGUUCACCGCCAUAGCCAUAUCGUCCUCCAACCCAAAGCCCCGCUCCGAGACCCCUCGCAACGCGGCCCUCGCGUCCGCCAUCUCCGCCGCUUCGGGCAGCACCGGUCUUCCUCACCCCGGCAGCGAAGAUGGCGGCCGCGGCUUGGGAGGCCUCCUAUCGUGGCUCUUCAACGCCGGCGCGGCGCACGCCGCGGAGGAGAAGCCGCCAUCGAGGGACUGGGACGCGCACGAGUUCGGGGCCAGGACGACGGUGCCGUUCGCGAGGCUGCAAGGGGCCAAGAGGUACAAGGUUUCGGACGUCAGGUUCCUCGACCGCCGCGCGCCCGGCGGCGGCGGGGGCGCGCGCCUCACGGCGGGGCCCGACGACCCCCUGUUCGAGGGCGCGGCGCUGCGGCCCGGCGAGGUGUACACCCGGUCGCAGCUGCUCGGGGAGCUCGAGGCGCUGUCCUCGUGCGGCAUGUUCGACGGCGUCAGCGUGGAGGCGGUCCGGCCCCAGCCCGACGGCACCCUCGGUCUAACCGUCUCCUACGCCGAGGCCCUCUGGGCCCCGGCGAAGCGGUUCAGCUGCGUCAACAUGGGCGGCCUCUUGCCGGCGCAGGCCGACGAGGUCGAGGACGACGACAUGACGGAGAGGGAGAAGAUCGCGCUCCGGCGGAGGCAUGAGAGGGCGUAUCAGCAGCGCCUCGGGCGGGCCAAGGCGUGCAUCCUGCCGGAGCCCGUGCGCGGAGAGGUGGUGGAGAUGGUGAGGAAGCAGGGACGGGUGAGCGCCAGGCUGCUGCAGAGGAUCAGGGACUGCGUCCAGAGGUGGUACUACGACGAGGGGUUCGUGUGCGCUCAGGUGAUCAACUUCGGGAAUCUCGACGCCGGCGAGGUUUUGUGCGAGGUCGUCGAGGGGGAGGUAACGGGGGUGGAGUACCAGUUCCAAGACAAGCUCGGCAAUGUCGUCGAGGGGAACACCCAGCUCCCUGUAAUUGACAGGGAGCUGCCCCGGCAGCUUCGACCAGGCAAUAUCUUUAAUAUUGGGGCAGGGAAACAGGCUCUGAAGAACAUAAAUGCGCUCGGAUUAUUCUCUAACAUAGAGGUGAAUCCACGACCUGAUGAGACAAAAGAAGGGGGCGUAGUGGUUGAAAUCAAGCUCAAAGAACAAGAUCCCAAAUCAGCCGAUGUGGAGACAAUGUGGAACUUUGUACCAGGGGAUCAGGGACGACCAACUCUUGCAUCCAUUCAACCUGGAGGAGGUGUGACAUUUGAGCACCGCAACAUCGGUGGCCUGAACCGAUCUCUCGCUGGUUCUUUCUCAUCGAGCAACCUGCUCAAUCCUCAGGAUGAUGUUUCAUUCAAGCUUGAGUACACACAUCCUUACUUGGACGGUGUGGAGGACCGGAGCAGGAACCGCAUCUUCAAAGCCAGUUGUUUCAACACCAAGAAACUCAGCCCUGUCUUUGUCGCCGGCCCCAACAUGGACGAUGCUCCACCCAUCUGGGUCGACAGAGUUGGAAUCAAAGCGAACAUAACAGAGAACCUCACAAAGCAGAGCAAGUUCACCUAUGGCCUCGUGCUGGAGGAGAUCACGGCGCGUGACGAGAGCAAUGAUGUGUGCACACACGGGCUCCGGACGACGGCCCCCGGUGCCCUUGGCAUGGAUGGCCCCCCCACGACGUUCAGCGGCACCGGUGUGGACAGGAUGGCGUUUCUUCAGGCCAAUGUUACCCGGGAUAAUACGGAGUUCAUCAAUGGCGAGACCAUCGGCGACAGAUGCAUCUUCCAGGUGGACCAGGGCCUGGGCAUCGGGAGCAGGAACCCGUUCUUCAACCGCCAUCAGCUGACGGUCACAAAGUUCGUGAACCUAAACAAGCAGGAGAAGGGAGCCGGGAAGCCGCCGCCGGCCGUUCUUGUCGCCCAUGGCCGCUACGCAGGGUGUGUGGGAGACCUGCCGAGCUACGACGCGUUCGCGCUCGGAGGGCCUCACUCGGUCAGGGGCUACGGCAUGGGCGAACUCGGAGCCUGUAGGAACCUUCUCGAGGUCGCGACGGAGGUGCGCAUCCCUGUCCCAGUGAUGAAGAACACGCACGUGUACGCUUUUGCCGAGCAUGGCACGGACCUCGGGAGCUCCAAGGACGUCAAGGGGAACCCUACCGAGUUCUUCUGGCGCGCCGGCCAGGGAUCGUCGUACGGCGUGGGCGUCCGGUUUGGCCCGCUCAGGGCGGAGUACGCCGUCGACCACAACGCCGGCACGGGAUCCGUCUUCUUCAGAUACGGCGACAGGUUCUAG
rnacentral:rRNA from 1 species